UUUACCAAAAAGAAAUUGUGUUCUUCCUCUCCAAGAUAUUUCUCUCUCUAUCUAGAAGUUUGAAGAAGAAUAUUAAAUCUAAGGUUCAAGCUUUGAGUCUCCAUUCUCUCUAAUCUCUUAUGUUUUAAUAAUAAGGGUCCACCAAUCUCGAUUCUCCUCGCAGUCGCUAGGAUCCUUAGUAUAGGCAGGAAUGAAGAUAGGAUCCAACGAUCUCGAUUCUUAUCCCCGUGGAUAGGAUCCUUAGUAGAGGAAAGAUUUAAGAUUGGUUUUCUCACACUUGAAAAGAAAUCGUGACUCAGAUGCUUAAGAAGGUCACCCUACUCAACAUGGUACUUCAUCUAGUUGUGGAGGCAGACAAUGUUAGAACAUAUUUUAUGCUCUUCAGAAUUUACCUGAUUAGGAGGCCUCCUCUGAUAUAGACACUGGUAUGUUGUGAGCCAUUCCGUAAAAUAUUUAUGACUUUAAGUCCGGGUGAUACAUUGGUGAAUCCUUAUGUUGCUAUGAAGUCUGAGGUUAGUCCUGAAAUCUCUGAAGAAUGGUUUAGUCUCUACCCAUGUCGAUGAUUCUGUUCAAAUUAAACGGGUUUUCAGAAAUUACAAGGUCUCAAUUUGUUUUCGUACAAAAUCACCUUAGUUGAUGUAAUAUAGUUGUAUAUGAUUUAUUUUGAUGUUAUUCUUGGUAUAGAUUUUCUUCAUACUUACUAUUCCUCUAUUGAUAGUAGAAAUAUAAAUGGUUAGGUUUGAGUUUCUGAAUGAGCCGGUUAUAGAGCGGGAAGGUAUUAAUUCAGCACUUAAUGGUUGGUUUAUCUCGUGCCUUAAGGCCAGAAAAAUGAUUUUUAAGGUUGAAUCUAUUAUCUAGUUAGGGUUAAAGAUAUGUUUCCAGAACCCCUACUCUUGAGUUAGUCUUGUUGUGAAUGAAUUGAAACUAUUUCCUGAUGAUUUUCCUAGAGUUUAUCUCGGAAGAGAAAUUGAUUAUAUUCCUUAUUUUAUAAUGUCUCCGAUAGAAAUUGAAGAGUUGAAGAAUCAGUUAAACGACCACUUGUAUAAGGGUUUCAUUAGGCCACGUAUUUAUCCAUUGGGUGCUCCAGUGCUCUUUAUUUGAAAUAAUGAUGGUUCUCUUAAAAUGUAUAUUAAUUAUUGGCAAUUGAACCAGGUCAUGAUUAAGAAUUAAUAUCCCAUCCCAAGAAUAAAUGAUUUGUUUAAUAAUUUUUAGGGGUGCUAGAGUAUUCUCUAAGAUUGACAUCAGAACAUGUUAUUUCAACUUAUAGUGAGAGAAUGUGACAUUUGAACACAACCUUCAGAAUUUUUAUGGUUACUAUGAAUUUGUAGUUAUGUAUUUUAGACUAAAUAAUGGUCAUGUAAAUUUAAUUGAUUUGAUGAGUAGUCUAUUCAACAAUACUUGGAUAUGUUCUUUAUUUUUCCAUUGAUGAAAUCUUCAUCUAUUCUCGAAAUUAGGACAAACAUGACAAUCAUUUGAGGAUUGUCUUGCAAGUUCUCAAGAAUCAUCAGUUAUUUGCUAUGAUUAAGAAGUGUGAAUUUUUGUUAGGUCAGCAUCAUUUCAUGGCCAUAUUGUUUCUAGAGAAGGUAUUCUAGUUGAUCCUUAGAAGACCUAUGUAGUUAAGAACUGACCUAGACCGGAUUUUCCCUUGGGCAUUCAGAGUUUUUUAGAUUUAGCCGGUUACUAUAGAUGGGUUCUUAAAGGAUUUUCUUCUAUUUCUUUGCCUUUGAAUUCUUUGACUCAGAGAUGUAAAAUUUAAGUGGUUUGAAGCUUGGCAAAAGAGUUUUCAAGAGUUGAAAACUUGACUUUCUUUAGCGCAGAUUUUGACUUUAGAAGAUGUUUUCUAUGGUAUAAUUGUGUAUUGUUAUGCCUUAAGGGUUGGAAUUUCUUGUGUUUUAAUGUGACAUGGUAAGGUGAUAGACUAUGCUUCUAAGCAACUCGAAGUUUAAGAGAAGAAUUGCCCAAGUCAUAAUUCACAGUUGUCAGUGGUGGUUUAUGCCAAAAAAUUAUAGAGACAGUAUAUCUAUGGUGCUACUAUGGAUAUGCUCACAGAAGAGUCUUUAAUAUGUAUUUAAGUAAAAAGAUUUGAAACUUCGCCAAGGAGGUGGCCGGACUUGUUAAAAGAUUAUGAUAUGAGUGUUUUUACCAUCCAGGAUGCCUUUCAGUUUUUACCAUUUUAAAAAAUAUCUAUCUUAUGGUUCCCUUUAUCAUAUUAUUAUUGUUGUUUCUCUAUUAGAUAUGUCUAGUUUUAUUAAUGCAUGUUAUUUGGGUUUUAGAUUGCCUACUAAGACUAAUGGUAGGUGCCAAUCAUGAUUCGCUUUUGGGGCAUGAUACUUUCUGCACUUGUUACUAAUUUAAGUUGUUCUUUUAUCCAUACAAGUGUAUUGUGUUUCUACUAAUAUUACUUUUUAACCUUUGGCUGAGUGCAGAUAGGAAUCCAGAGUCUUCUAGCCCAAACAUCUUUUCCAUUAAUAUUGAACUUAGCAAUAGGUUUUGUGCUCAAAAUCUAAUCAAUGGUUGAAACAUCACGAACCACCAUUUGGGCAUAUAACAAAAGUUUUGAUGAAGUUGGUGGAGGCAUAUGCACAUCCUCAACAAAAUCUAUAUAUUUUGAGUUAAAGAGUUCAACCACUUCUUUUUUAGUCAUAUGUUCACCCCUUGAUAAUGUCAAAAACAUAGUCCUAUCGUCAACUUGUGAUUUAGGUUUCAAGGACCAAAUAUUUUCCAGUGGUCCGUUCUUAUUCGGGAUAAUAUAAUCCAAACUUCUGAGAAUCACUGUUAUGAUACCAAAUGUUUGAUGAGGGAAUCCAGGGACAUGGAUGGGAAAAUUCAGGGGCACCUUUGGAUAUCCUUUUGACAAGACCCAAACUAAAAUAUCUGCAAAAACGAUGGAACAUACAUCGUUUAAGUAAUUUUUAUUCCACUUUUCAUGGUGAACCUAAUUUUGUAGAAAUUAUGUAAUGAAAUUGCUCUAUCCAUAACCAUAGCAGUAAUUGUCAUACCCCUUGCUAGAUUUGAUUUAGGGGAACCUUUGAUUGCACCCACCUCAAGCACAUGACCGCUUCUUUUGCCAGUAGAUUGAUUUCCAUGAUAGGUACAACUAAAAAUUUAACAAUUAAAUUCAAACAACUCACAUGGUUACGUAGCCAUAGACACAUAGCCAUUUCUAAAAGAGACAUACCUGGAGCAUGAUGUAAGAUCAGGACCAACCUAAUGAAGAGUUCUUGAUCAAAACUAUGGAAUGAAUGCAGGUCUUUGAGGGUGAUGCUUUUUGAUGCCAUUGUUGUGUACCAGUAAUGAAAGGGUGAUCUCAUAGCCUUUAUAUAACAUUGGAAGGAGUGACUUUAAAUUUGUUAGACUUUUUUAUUCCUUAAUUCACUUGCCAAAAUUAAUUUGUAGUUAAUGAAGAUACAACUCCUUAUGCUUAUUCUACUUUACAUUUUAUGAUUUAUUAUUUACUUACCAAAAAGAAAAAUUUUAAUAAAUGAUGUAUACAAUUUA